rnacentral:rRNA from 1 species
GAUCAACGCUAGCGGCAGGCCUAAUACAUGCAAGUCGAGGGGUAGAGCUAGCUUGCUAGCUUGAGACCGGCGCACGGGUGCGUAACGCGUAUGCAACCUACCCUUUUCUGGGGGCUAGCCCGGAGAACUCCGGAUUAACACCGCAUAAGACCACGAUACGUCAUCGUGACGUGGUCAACCACUUAUGGGAGAAGGCCGGGCAUGCGUGCCAUUAGCUAGUUGGCGGGGUAACGGCCCACCAGGGCGACGAUGGCGAGGGGAUCUGAUAGGAUGGCCCCCCACACUGGUACUGAGACACGGACCAGACUGCUACGGGAGGCAGCAGUAAGGAAGAUUGGUCAAUGGGGGCAACCCUGAACCAGCCAUGCCGCGUGCAGGACGACGGCCCUCCGGGUUGUAAACUGCUUUGGUACGGGAAUAAACCCCGGUACGUGUAGUGGGCUGAAUGUACCGUAAGAAUAAGGAUCGGCUAACUACGUGCCAGCAGCCGCCGUAAGAC